GAUGAACGCUGGCGGCGUGCCUAAUACAUGCAAGCCGAGCGAACAGACGAGGAGCUUGCUCCUCUGACGUUAGCGGCGGACGCGUGAGUAACCCGUGGAUAACCUACCUAUAAGACUGGGAUAAAUUCGGGAAAUCGGAGCUAAUACCGGAUAAUAUAUUGUAACGCAUUGUUCAAUAGUGAAAGACGGUUUUGCUGUCACUUAUAGCUGGAUCCGCGUCGCAUUAGCUAAUUGGUAAGGUAACGGCUUACCAAGGCAACGAUGCGUAGCCGACCUGUGAGGGUGAGCGGCCACACUGGAACUGAGACACGGUCCAGACUCUUACGGGAGGCAGCAGUAGGGAAUCUUCCGCGAAUGGCGAAAGCCUGACGGAGCAACGCCGCGUGAGUGAUGAAGGUCUUCGGAUCGUAAAACUCUGUUAUUAGGGAAGAACAAAUGUGUAAGUAACUAUGCACGUCUUGACGGUACCUAAUCAGAAAGCCACGGCUAACUACGUG
rnacentral:rRNA from 1 species